rnacentral:rRNA from 1 species
GACGAACCGUGCGAACGUUGUUCGGAAUUACUGGGCUUAAAGGGCGCGUAGGCGGGCUGUCUAGUCCGGGGUGAAAUCCUCCAGCUCAACUGGAGAAUGGCCUCGGAUACUGAUGGUCUCGAGGAGGAUAGGGGCACACGGAACUGUGGGUGGAGCGGUGAAAUGCGUUGAUAUCCACAGGAACUCCGGUGGCGAAAGCGGUGUGCUGGAUCCUUUCUGACGCUGAUGCGCGAAAGCCAGGGGAGCAAACGGG